UCCUACGGGAGGCAGCAGUGGGGAAUAUUGGACAAUGGGGGCAACCCUGAUCCAGCCAUGCCGCGUGUGUGAAGAAGGCCCCCGGGUUGUAAAGCACUUUCAGCGAGGAAGAACGCCUAGCGGUUAAUACCCGCUAGGAAAGACAUCACUCGCAGAAGAAGCACCGGCUAACUCCGUGCCAGCAGCCGCGGUAAUACGGAGGGUGCAAGCGUUAAUCGGAAUUACUGGGCGUAAAGCGCGCGUAGGUGGCUUGAUAAGCCGGUUGUGAAAGCCCCGGGCUCAACCUGGGAACGGCAUCCGGAACUGUCAAGCUAGAGUGCAGGAGAGGAAGGUAGAAUUCCCGGUGUAGCGGUGAAAUGCGUAGAGAUCGGGAGGAAUACCAGUGGCGAAGGCGGCCUUCUGGACUGACACUGACACUGAGGUGCGAAAGCGUGGGUAGCAAACAGGAUUAGAUACCCUGGUAGUCCACGCCGUAAACGAUGUCGACCAGCCGUUGGGUGCCUAGCGCACUUUGUGGCGAAGUUAACGCGAUAAGUCGACCGCCUGGGGAGUACGGCCGCAAGGUUAAAACUCAAAUGAAUUGACGGGGGCCCGCACAAGCGGUGGGGCAUGUGGUUUAAUUCGAUGCAACGCGAAGAACCUUACCUACUCUUGACAUCCUGCGAAUUUGGUAGAGAUACCUUAGUGCCUUCGGGAACGCAGAGACAGGUGCUGCAUGGCUGUCGUCAGCUCGUGUUGUGAAAUGUUGGGUUAAGUCCCGUAACGAGCGCACCCUUGUCCUUAUUUGCCAGCCGCGUAAUGCGGACUCUAAGAGACUGCCGGUGACAAACCCGGAAGGAAGGGUGGGGACGACUCAGUCAUCAUGGGCCCCUUACGAAUAGGCUU
rnacentral:rRNA from 1 species